rnacentral:misc_RNA from 1 species
GAUGAAGAACGUAGCGAAAUGCGAUAAGUAAUGUGAAUUGCAGAAUUCAGUGAAUCAUCGAAUCUUUGAACGCACAUUGCGCCCGCCAGUAUUCUGGCGGGCAUGCCUGUCUGAGCGUCAUUUCAACCCUCAAGCAACUUCUGCUUGGUGUUGGGGAUCGGCCGUUAAACGCCGCCCCCGAAAUCUAUUGGCGAUCUCGCUGUAGCUUCCUAUGCGUAGUAGUAACAUCUCGCAUCUGGAGAGCGGCGCGGUCAUGCUGUAAAACACCCAACUUCUCAGGUUGACCUCAGAUCAGGUAGGAAUACCCGCUGAACUUAAGCAUAUCAAUAAGCGGAGGA